UAGUUGGCCGGUGCUUCUUCUGUACCUACCGUCACUUGCGCUUCGUCGGUACUGAAAGAGGUUACAACCAAGGCCGUCAUCCCUCACGCGGCGUUGCUGGAUCAGGCUUCCGCCCAUUGUCCAGUAUUCCCCA
rnacentral:rRNA from 1 species